rnacentral:rRNA from 1 species
AUGAGUGCAGGCAUAGAGGAGGUCUUUUCGUUGGCAGUGCACAGGCACUGCAGGUGGCACAUUAUAAAGAAGGCUGAGGAGACACUAGGACCGUUCUUUGCUGACCGUCCAGACCUGCACAAGGCAUUCGAGCUGUGCGUGGACCACAGCUUGACAGUGGAGGAGUUUGAAAGGAGCUGGAUGGCUAUGAUUGAAACAUAUCAAGUCCAAGACCACGAGACGCUUGCUAGCUUGUGGGAGAAGCGAAUGUACUGGGUGCCGGCCUACUUCAUGCAGUGCUUCUUCCCGUUUCUGCAGACUACACAACGCAUUGAGGGGUUCAAUGCUAUUUUGAAGCGGUACGUGAGCCCUGGCAACUCAUUACUACAGUUUGCCAAGCAGUACACCGCUUUGCAACAAAAAAUAUUGGGAUCCGAGCUACAGCAAGAAGCAAACACCGCGCUCAAGCAGCCAAAAUUGCUAACAUAUUUACCAAUGGGGAGGCAGAUGAGCAAGAUAUACACCAACAUGAUUUUUAACAAGUAA